AAAAACAUCAGAGAGAAAAAAAGAAACAAAAGCCAGUCUGAAGAAAUGGUUACAUUAUUUUCUACAAUGGCAAUUUCAGAAGUUGUUUUUCUUCAUGCAGAGAUAUGGAUAUGAGAGGCAUUCCUCCACAGAAGAGGCUUAACCACUUUGGCCCUUGAGAUCUUUACUUGAUCAAAACUUCUACAAGCGUGCUGGCAUGCUGGAGUCAGCUAGAAUUGGAUUGCCAGAGCCUGUUGUGUGCACCUGUCCCCAACUCUGUCCAGUGACCUCAGCCUCCUUUCACAGAGACUGAAUUUCAAUCAGCUGCUCUCAGUUGACAAUGAUAAAAUUAUCUCUAUAUGGGCAAAUGCGUGCUCUUUGUCGAAAAAGAAAGCUUCAGCUUCAUGUUCCAGGGACGGUCAAGUUGGUAUCCAUCGUGAAGCUAAAUGAAUAUCUGGACAGGAGUCAGACAAAGGGAAGGAGAAUCCAGGGGAAGAUGAAGCAGCUGCAGGCCUGUCUGCUACCCUAUAUCCGGGGAAGAGCCAGAAAUUGCUGACCAUAGAGAGUUACAUUGUCCAGCUUUUCCUCCACGAAAUGGAGCAGCAACAAAAGGCCAGAUCAUUCAACCUAUGCUUCCUCAAGUCUGAUAACAUUAGCGUUUCUCUCAGAUAUCAGUUCAAGUAAGGAGUUGCCAAUAGAAGCAAAGAUGCCAGGAAUCAUCGUUUUUAUUUCAGUGUCCUUACGAAGACCUUUGAGCACAAUGGAACGAUGAGGCAACAUUAAAUAUUACUGGAAUGGGGUAUGAAAGCAGCUACUAGAAAAUCCUGCAAGAAAAAUAGAUGGAGAAACUGAGUGCUAAGAGUCUUGCCUUUUAGCUGUCAACAGUUUGAAGAUGAAACAAAUCUGGAACAGCUGAUUUCUAUUGUGGCAGCUAUUACCCAUUUUUGUUAUGCAUCUGUCUCUUCCCAGACUAUAAAUUAUUUAAGGUGUGAGUCGGAGACCUAGGCAUUUCUUAUGGCCAGAACCUUAAGCAAUGUCUGGGAUAUAGCAGAUAUAACAGACUCUCAGCUAUUGCGUGAAUUAAGGAAUGAGCUUGAGAAAUACUUUUAAGUAUUUUCUUCCUGGAAAAGAGACUCCAACUGUCUUUUGUACAGUGCUUGAAACUCAUACCAUUAAUCACUCUUUGAGACUAAAGCUCUGAUAACCUGAGUGAAGAAUUGGUUACAAGGACGUUACAAUGCACCAUGCUACCUUCAGCCAUUUGUGCUUCUGCAUAAAUUGUUUUGACCGAUUAGCCAAUCAGUCACCAACAAGACCCAAAAGGAAUGAGAAUCUAAACAGAUUGUCACCAUUUGGUGGGUUUGAACACCAAGAGGAUAGAGCCUAGAGCAUUGUGGUCUGCUUUAAGACUUCUGAGAGGCAAUAAGGUAAGGUCUGAAAAACCAAGAGUCGGGAUAAACAAGUCAAUUGUGUAUACAUGGAGGUGGGAUGAAUAAAGAGGAGGAGGGGUUGAUGGAAGAAAACUGCACCCAAAAUUAUCGUGUGUCAAAGGCUGGCUGUGGAGCCGAUCUUACAACCUCAAAUAAUGUGAUCAUACUAUCACUCAGCAUAAUUUGUGCCCCCCAGUUUUGUAUGUCUAGGCUGCUUAGGAAAUUGAUGAAUAACAGAAGAUGCCACUUAUCACUGAGAUGAACCAAGUCAUCCCAGAGGGAGUACUAUUUGAAGAUGUGUGGAACAUUCUGUGAAUAUAGAAAAGGAUCCCAUACCAUGAUUCAAUUCAUGACUGUGGCUAGUAGAGAUCCACAUUUCAUGUUUUGCUAUCCAUGGGAUUUAAAUCUGCUGUCACUCUCCUUCCUAUGCAGCUUAGAUUGCUUGACCUAACAUUACAAUUAAACCUUACAUAAAUGCUAAAUCCUUCUGCCCCUCUGUUCUAUAUUGCUUGUAUCUGGGACAAAUCCAAACCUUGGAUAAAACUAUUGCCAGGAAAUAUCAUGUUUUCCUGGAAAAAUAUCACAUAACAGUGUGAUUCCAUUGUGAAUUUAUGAUUGCUAACCUCAUCUGAGUUCCAAUAACAAGACUAACCAAUAAUUCUAGUAUGUUGUUCUGGUCAAUUUCUUUCCAAUAUUUACAAUGGCUAUUUCAAACCUAUUCCAUUUUCAUUAAUCUUCUGGCUCUCCCCAUCUGCCCCUGUCAAUUCUCAGCAGAUGAUCUUAUUCUUCACAGGAGAAAUUGAAGCUGUCAUAUGGGAGCUCUUGUAUCUUUUCAUCUUUCUAGCUACACCCAUUCUUUUAUCUCUAUAACUUGUUUAAAAAGGCGAGUUAUACAUCUUAUUUUAAUACCAAUUCCUUUCUAGAUAUUUAGGAACGAUAUAUUUCUGCUCACCAAUCCCUUCGUUGGUACUUCCACAAGACUCUUUUAUAGGAUCAUCCCAAUUAGCAGUUAACAAACUCUAGUCUCUCAUAAAUAAAAUUAUACUCUCAACUCCACCCCUAUUCCCACUCCCCAGUAUUGCC
rnacentral:lncRNA from 1 species